AGAGACUUAGGUUAAACCAAAAACCAGUGGCCUUCAAAGCCACAAACAAGAGAUCAACCCUCUUAGUCCCUG
rnacentral:tRNA from 1 species